CUCUGAGGUAGCACAGUUGCUACUGAGCUCGGGAGCCUUAAAUAACACAGAUUUGAUUGAUCUUGUGUUUGAACGACUGGACAAGGGCAACGCUCUGGAAAAUGUGGAUGUAUUCCUGACACAGCUGACAAUCAAUGGACAGACACCGACUUUCGAGCCUGUUGUGAGAGAUCAUGUGAUGAACAAAACCUUCACUAUCAUCAGUCCACAUUUCUCCAGUUUUACCACAGACGACUUUGACAAGUGGUUCAGUGUGAAACUGGUUCCUAUCCUUGCAAGUUUUACACCAGAAAUGCUCACAAAUGCAACCACAAACAUCAACUGCACAAUCUACCACAUCAUUGUGAGUGGGAUGGCUAAGGUUUUCAAGGAGAUGCCACCGCAUAGGCAACAACAAAACACAGUUGUUCUGCUGGGCUACCUAAAA